AACAGAGUAGAAGUCAUGCGUAAAGUGUCAAUGGACGGGAAGUUGCCAUUGGACGAAAAAUCCCUGUAAAGCGGAUUUGCGAUGUGCCUUCGCAUCCGCUGUC
rfam:Eubacterium sp. CAG:38 genomic scaffold, scf54